UUGGAUUGUGGCUGUCUGCUGGCUUUAAAUAGCCUGCUCGGCUGAAAUACACGAGCAACCGCAUGAAUUAAUAACGGCUUGACUCGGCGUAAUAACUAUUUCGCUGAGGACGUUUCCAAUUCUAAAGGUGCUGCUAAUGCAUUAGAAAUAAUCUUUAAGCUUUAGACCUCAAAUCAGUCAGGACUACCCGCUGAACUUAA
rnacentral:misc_RNA from 1 species